UAAGUGCUCAAUCCAGAAGAGGGUUGUUUUGCUGUUGCGCUCUCUUGGUAAGGUUGUAGCUCUUUUCAUGGGUCAUUUCUCCGAUGGACAUAGCAUUGGGGAUAUCUAUCAUUUGAUGGCAACGCGAUGGCCACAAUUGAUUGUAGCAACUGUGAUUUAAUUGAUUAAAUGUUCAGAAAAUAGAAAUAAUGGAUGGACUUGUGAGAACCAUCCAAAGUCAUGCCAAAAUGGACUAAUGAUGAUUGUGAUAAAUUAAGGAAGAAUAUCAUCAUGCAAAUGCUCCUAUGCCUACAAAAUGAUUGCCGAACUAAUAUUUUGGAGCUAGCAAAGAGUUAUCAAUUCACAAAGAUUGCCAAUAAAAAGGAAAGAAAGAAAAAUGAAAAGAAAGCUUUGGAUACCCCGAAGGAGAGAAAAGCACCAUGACAAAGAAAACUAGGAGCCUCCCAAGUUAGUCCAUAUGCAAAUGUUGGGACGGGAACUUUAGAAGGAAUAAUUGGAUAUUAAAAAAGAAAAGUAUGAGGAAAAUUAAGGACAAAUCGAGGGGGAAAGAAUUGAUUGUAUAAAUUUUUUACUUAAUUUUUACUACUGAAUUUGAAUGUCAUGUUAGCAAUUUUGUUUGAUUAAUAUAUGUCUACUGAGUUUUAUUAUAUUCAGGUUCAGUGCUUGAUUGCUGAGUUUGAUUA